rnacentral:rRNA from 1 species
GACGAACGCUGGCGGCGUGCUUAACACAUGCAAGUCGAACGGAAAGGCCCUGCUUUUGUGGGGUGCUCGAGUGGCGAACGGGUGAGUAACACGUGAGUAACCUGCCCUUGACUUUGGGAUAACUUCAGGAAACUGGGGCUAAUACCGGAUAGGAGCUCCUGCUGCAUGGUGGGGGUUGGAAAGUUUCGGCGGUUGGGAUGGACUUGCGGCUUAUCAGCUUGUUGGUGGGGGAGUGGCUUACCAAGGCUUUGACGGGUAGCCGGCCUGAGAGGGUGACCGGCCACAUUGGGACUGAGAUACGGCCCAGACUCCUACGGGAGGCAGCAGUGGGGAAUAUUGCACAAUGGGCGGAAGCCUGAUGCAGCAACGCCGCGUGCGGGAUGACGGCCUUCGGGUUGUAAACCGCUUUCGCCUGUGACGAAGCGUGAGUGACGGUAAUGGGUAAAGAAGCACCGGCUAACUACGUG